rnacentral:lncRNA from 1 species
CUGACUGAAAGGAAAGAGCUCAGUUUAGGGUUUAAAACCCUAAUGCUGACUAAAUGGAAGAGUUUAGUUUAGGGUUUAAAACCCUAAUGCUGACUAACUGGAAAGAGUUCAGUUCAAGGUUUAAAACCCUAAUGCUGACUGAAUGGAAAAGUUCAGUUUAGGGUUUAAAACCCUAAUGUUGAUCAAAGGAAAAAGUUCAGUUUAGGGUUUUAAACCCUAAUGCUGACUAAAAGAAAAGUUCAGUUUAGGGUUUAAAACCCUAAUGCUGACUGAAAGGAAAAAGUUUAGUUUAGGGUUUUAAAACCCUAAUGCUGACUGACUGAAAACAAAGUUCGAGGAUACUAACUGACCUCUUUUUUUGAAUUUUCUUGUUUUAGUAGAAGAUAAAAAGGAGUCCCGUGGAAACUUACCUUUCGAGUGAA